GAGGGUACAGCUCAGUGGCAGAGUGCAUGCCUCGCAUGCAUGAGGUUCUGGGUUCAAUCCCCAGUACUUCUG
rnacentral:tRNA from 1 species